CAUGCAAGUCGAGCGAUGAGGCCCCUUCGGGGGUACAUCAGCGGCGGAUGGGUGAGUAACACGUAGGCGACCUGCCCCGAAGACGGGGAUAACUACUGGAAAUGGUGGCUAAUACCCGAUGUGCUCGGCGAUUCAGUUCGUCGAGUAAAGUUUCGGCGCUUCGGGAUGGGCCUGCGGCUUAUCAGCUAGUUGGUAGGGUAACGGCCUACCAAGGCGAAGACGGGUAGGGGGCGUGAGAGCGCGGCCCCCCACACUGGCACUGAGACACGGGCCAGACUCCUACGGGAGGCAGCAGUCGGGGAUAUUGCACAAUGGGCGCAAGCCUGAUGCAGCGACGCCGCGUGGGCGAUGAAGGCUUUCGAGUCGUAAAGCCCUUUUCUGGGGGAAGAGCAAGGACG
rnacentral:rRNA from 1 species